UAGAAGUAGAGCUCACGGCCCACAUUGAAACAGAUCCGGUCGCCGUUGCCCGACUGGUCGUUGACGUUCACGAAGGAGACCUUGACGGGGUUGGAGCCCUGCGAGUUGAAAGGCACCCGGUUCGGACGGCUGUAUUCGGAGCCGGAUCUUACGCACGGAGGGGAGCGGGGCCACGGAGCGGGCAUCGUUGCUCUGCCGUUCCCCCCCGACGGUUCACCGGGGACCUGGUGGAAGGGGAUGGUACUGCUGUACCUGUUGUACCGUGAGCUAUCACUGCUCCAUACCAUAGCUUCAUACUCAACUCAGACGCUGUAGAAUCACCUGUUAUCAGCCAUAUAUUACAAAUAGUUCAUUUGGGAAUGACACAACAGGAUACAUUCACCUAUUUUUUACUUUGAUGAUAAAGGUUAAAUAUCAAUUUUUCACCAUAAAACUAUAUAUAUGCUUAAAACAAACAACGUGUGAAAUGUUGGUAAAGCGACAAAAAAAUAAGGCGGCAAUUAGACUUUUAUUUUGAAAAAAAUACAACACCGGAUGUAUUAUUUUGUAAAAAAAACUGGGUUUUUUAAUUAGCUAACUCGGUGGCGUUUUGCGCUCGAGUGAGUUCCGUUUGUCGCACUGAUGCUCUCACCUGUGGCUGCACUUGGUCACAUAUUAUCGGAGGCACCUGGUGGUUAAUCAAUCCCCAUGCUUGUCCGACCACACAGCAACGACUUUAUUUCCAUUUUUACUUUAUCGUUGGUCCAGAAAAGUUAACAGAUGCCAUGCAUGUUGGAGAAGACAACACUCAGUCCCAGAUCACGGUGAUAGAUAAAUAUACCAAACAACAUGGACCAGCUUGCUUUCAAAUACAUGGACAUGUGUAAAGUGGAGUCCAGCACUGAUACUGACUCAGAAAUCAGUCCCAGAUUGUCGGACACCAGCAAUAUGGGAUGUGUGAGCAGUGCACCAGAGUGUGGGACAUCCGGUUGGAUCCUGAGACCAUUGAAGCCCGCAGCAAGACAUGGCUGUUCAUCUUUGGCGAACGAGGCAGCAGGGACAAGGAGGAAGUGGGGGACGUCGUUUUUUGGGCCGCAGCAGGAGAUUCAUCCUUCAUCACCCAGCUGCUGUUGCCCUGAGAGAUUCGAUGAAACAUGGGAUGAAAGAUCCUGUAACAGAGCAGCAACAUCCUCUGGAUGUCCAGAUGAAAUGUGGCAGUGACCCUGAGCUGUGGGUCUGUGAGCUUGACACUGUGCCCUCCCACAGCAACAAGGACAGUUGUGGAGAUCUCACAGCAGAAAUGACAAAUGAUUUAAAACAACCCGCCCAAACCAUGGAUAUCGAGGUGCAACUUGAUGAUUCAGGCUUGUACACUACAAGAUCCUCCACACCCCUCACACCUGGACCUCUCACCCCAGUGGUAGGGAGCUCGUCCUGGUUGCUGGGGAGCUCCUCAGAGAGAUCCCUCAGCCCUUGUAACCUCAGAUCUCUUUACAAGAGAAAGCUGGGGCUGCCUGGAGCAGAAGUGGGGCAAAGCAAGAGGCAGUGUGUCGUCAACAUGGAGGACGAAGAGGCAGGGGACUCUGCAUCUGAACCAUGUUAGACCCAUCUGACCGUGGAGUGACAGAAUGAAGUUCUUCAGUCAUAUUAAAUACCUUUAAAGGAUUUAAAGUGUAAUAAUAUACUGUAAAUAGUUACUCUAAAAUGCACUUUGGAUUGUGUUCAUACCUCCAGUAAUGUUUAAAUUCUCACUUGUGUCAUAAAUUGUGCUGAUUGCCUCUUUUUGAAGAAUUAUGAUUUUGUGAUAGCCCUACAUUCAAUCCAUGCACAGGCAAUGAAGAAACUCUACACUUUCCCAAUAAAAGAGUGAAGAAUUAGA